AAAGGAACUAGGCAAAAUGGUGCCGUAACUUCGGGAGAAGGCACGCUGAUAUGUAGGUGAAGCGACUUGCUCGUGGAGCUGAAAUCAGCCGAAGAUACCAGCUGGCUGCAACUGUUUAUUAAAAACACAGCACUGUGCAAACACGAAAGUGGACGUAUACGGUGUGACGCCUGCCCGGUGCCGGGAGGUUAAUUGAUGGGGUUAGCGCAAGCGAAGCUCUUGAUCGAAGCCCCGGUAAACGGCGGCCGUAACGAUAACGGUCCUAAGGUAGCGAAAUUCCUUGUCGGGUAAGUUCCGACCUGCACGAAUGGCGUAAUGAUGGCCAGGCUGUCUCCACCCGAGACUCAGUGAAAUUGAACUCGCUGUGAAGAUGCAGUGUACCCGCGGCAAGACGGAAAGACCCCGUGAACCUUUACUAUAGCUUGACACUGAACAUUGAGCCUUGAUGUGUAGGAUAGGUGGGAGGCUUUGAAGUGUGGACGCCAGUCUGCAUGGAGCCGACCUUGAAAUACCACCCUUUAAUGUUUGAUGUUCUAACGUUGACCCGUAAUCCGGGUUGCGGACAGUGUCUGGUGGGUAGUUUGACUGGGGCGGUCUCCUCCUAAAGAGUAACGGAGGAGCACGAAGGUUGGCUAAUCCUGGUCGGACAUCAGGAGGUUAGUGCAAUGGCAUAAGCCAGCUUGACUGCGAGCGUGACGGCGCGAGCAGGUGCGAAAGCAGGUCAUAGUGAUCCGGUGGUUCUGAAUGGAAGGGCCAUCGCUCAACGGAUAAAAGGUACUCCGGGGAUAACAGGCUGAUACCGCCCAAGAGUUCAUAUCGACGGCGGUGUUUGGCACCUCGAUGUCGGCUCAUCACAUCCUGGGGCUGAAGUAGGUCCCAAGGGUAUGGCUGUUCGCCAUUUAAAGUGGUACGCGAGCUGGGUUUAGAACGUCGUGAGACAGUUCGGUCCCUAUCUGCCGUGGGCGCUGGAGAACUGAGGGGGGCUGCUCCUAGUACGAGAGGACCGGAGUGGACGCAUCACUGGUGUUCGGGUUGUCAUGCCAAUGGCACUGCCCGGUAGCUAAAUGCGGAAGAGAUAAGUGCUGAAAGCAUCUAAGCACGAAACUUGCCCCGAGAUGAGUUCUCCCUGACUCCUUGAGAGUCCUGAAGGAACGUUGAAGACGACGACGUUGAUAGGCCGGGUGUGUAAGCGCAGCGAUGCGUUGAGCUAACCGGUACUAAUGAACCGUGAGGCUUAACCU
rnacentral:rRNA from 1 species